rnacentral:rRNA from 1 species
UACGAAGGGGGCUAGCGUUGCUCGGAAUUACUGGGCGUAAAGGGCGCGUAGGCGGAUCGUUUAGUCAGAGGUGAAAGCCCAGGGCUCAACCUUGGAAUUGCCUUUGAUACUGGCUAUCUUGAGUUCGGGAGAGGUGAGUGGAAUGCCGAGUGUAGAGGUGAAAUUCGUAGAUAUUCGGCGGAACACCAGUGGCGAAGGCGACUCACUGGACCGAUACUGACGCUGAGGCGCGAAAGCGUGGGGAGCAAACAGG